rnacentral:rRNA from 1 species
AAGUUGCAGGGUAUAGACCCGAAACCCGGUGAUCUAGCCAUGGGCAGGUUGAAGGUUGGGUAACACUAACUGGAGGACCGAACCGACUAAUGUUGAAAAAUUAGCGGAUGACUUGUGGCUGGGGGUGAAAGGCCAAUCAAACCGGGAGAUAGCUGGUUCUCCCCGAAAGCUAUUUAGGUAGCGCCUCGUGAAUUCAUCUCCGGGGGUAGAGCACUGUUUCGGCAAGGGGGUCAUCCCGACUUACCAACCCGAUGCAAACUGCGAAUACCGGAGAAUGUUAUCACGGGAGACACACGGCGGGUGCUAACGUCCGUCGUGAAGAGGGAAACAACCCAGACCGCCAGCUAAGGUCCCAAAGUCAUGGUUAAGUGGGAAACGAUGUGGGAAGGCCCAGACAGCCAGGAUGUUGGCUUAGAAGCAGCCAUCAUUUAAAGAAAGCGUAAUAGCUCACUGGUCGAGUCGGCCUGCGCGGAAGAUGUAACGGGGCUAAACCAUGCACCGAAGCUGCGGCAGCGACGCUUAUGCGUUGUUGGGUAGGGGAGCGUUCUGUAAGCCUGUGAAGGUGUACUGUGAGGUAUGCUGGAGGUAUCAGAAGUGCGAAUGCUGACAUAAGUAACGAUAAAGCGGGUGAAAAGCCCGCUCGCCGGAAGACCAAGGGUUCCUGUCCAACGUUAAUCGGGGCAGGGUGAGUCGACCCCUAAGGCGAGGCCGAAAGGCGUAGUCGAUGGGAAACAGGUUAAUAUUCCUGUACUUGGUGUUACUGCGAAGGGGGGACGGAGAAGGCUAUGUUGGCCGGGCGACGGUUGUCCCGGUUUAAGCGUGUAGGCUGGUUUUCCAGGCAAAUCCGGAAAAUCAAGGCUGAGGCGUGAUGACGAGGCACUACGGUGCUGAAGCAACAAAUGCCCUGCUUCCAGGAAAAGCCUCUAAGCAUCAGGUAACAUCAAAUCGUACCCCAAACCGACACAGGUGGUCAGGUAGAGAAUACCAAGGCGCUUGAGAGAACUCGGGUGAAGGAACUAGGCAAAAUGGUGCCGUAACUUCGGGAGAAGGCACGCUGAUAUGUAGGUGAAGUCCCUCGCGGAUGGAGCUGAAAUCAGUCGAAGAUACCAGCUGGCUGCAACUGUUUAUUAAAAACACAGCACUGUGCAAACACGAAAGUGGACGUAUACGGUGUGACGCCUGCCCGGUGCCGGAAGGUUAAUUGAUGGGGUUAGCGCAAGCGAAGCUCUUGAUCGAAGCCCCGGUAAACGGCGGCCGUAACUAUAACGGUCCUAAGGUAGCGAAAUUCCUUGUCGGGUAAGUUCCGACCUGCACGAAUGGCGUAAUGAUGGCCAGGCUGUCUCCACCCGAGACUCAGUGAAAUUGAACUCGCUGUGAAGAUGCAGUGUACCCGCGGCAAGACGGAAAGACCCCGUGAACCUUUACUAUAGCUUGACACUGAACAUUGAGCCUUGAUGUGUAGGAUAGGUGGGAGGCUUUGAAGUGUGGACGCCAGUCUGCAUGGAGCCGACCUUGAAAUACCACCCUUUAAUGUUU